rnacentral:rRNA from 1 species
GCAAGUCGAACGAGAUCCUAGAGCUUGCUCUAGGUGACAGUGGCAGACGGGUGAGUAACGCGUGGCAACCUACCUUUUUCUACGGAACAACAGUUAUAAAUGACUGCUAAUACCGUAUACGCCCUCCGGGGGAAAGAUUUAUCGGUGAAAGAUGGGGCCGCGUUAGAUUAGCUAGUUGGUGAGGUAAGAGCUCACCAAGGCGACGAUCUAUAGCUGGUCUGAGAGGAUGAUC